rnacentral:tRNA from 16 species
GGGUGAUUAGCUCAGGUGGUAGAGCGUUUGCUUGACGUGCAAAAGGCCACUGGUUCGAGUCCAGUAUCACCCA